UACGAAGGGGGCUAGCGUUGUUCGGAAUUACUGGGCGUAAAGCGCGCGCAGGCGGUCUUCCAAGUCAGUGGUGAAAGCCCGGAGCUCAACUCCGGAACUGCCAUUGAAACUGUAAGACUUGGGGACGAGAGAGGUGAGUGGAAUUCCCAGUGUAGAGGUGAAAUUCGUAGAUAUUGGGAAGAACACCAGUGGCGAAGGCGGCUCACUGGCUCGUAUCUGACGCUCAGGCGCGACAGCGUGGGGAUCAAACAGG
rnacentral:rRNA from 1 species